rnacentral:rRNA from 1 species
UGGGGAAUAUUGCACAAUGGGCGCAAGCCUGAUGCAGCCAUGCCGCGUGUAUGAAGAAGGCCUUCGGGUUGUAAAGCACUUUCAGCGGGGAGGAAGGCGUUAAGGUUAAUAACCUUGGCGAUUGACGUUACCCGCAGAAGAAGCACCGGCUAACUCCGUGCCAGCAGCCGCGGUAAUACGGAGGGUGCAAGCGUUAAUCGGAAUUACUGGGCGUAAAGCGCACGCAGGCGGUCUGUCAAGUCGGAUGUGAAAUCCCCGGGCUCAACCUGGGAACUGCAUUCGAAACUGGCAGGCUAGAGUCUUGUAGAGGGGGGUAGAAUUCCAGGUGUAGCGGUGAAAUGCGUAGAGAUCUGGAGGAAUACCGGUGGCGAAGGCGGCCCCCUGGACAAAGACUGACACUCAGGUGCGAAAGCGUGGGGAGCAAACAGG